UGGGGGAUAUUGCACAAUGGGCGAAAGCCUGAUGCAGCGACGCCGCGUGGGGGAUGAAGGCUUUCGGGUUGUAAACCUCUUUCGCUAUCGAACAAGGCCCGCUUAGGGUGGGUUGAGGGUAGGUGGAGAAGAAGCGCCGGCUAACUACGUGCCAGCAGCCGCGGUAAUACGUAGGGCGCGAGCGUUGUCCGGAAUUAUUGGGCGUAAAGGGCUUGUAGGCGGCUUGUUGCGCCUGCUGUGAAAACGCGGGGCUUAACUUCGCGCGUGCAGUGGGUACGGGCAGGCUUGAGUGUGGUAGGGGUGACUGGAAUUCCAGGUGUAGCGGUGGAAUGCGCAGAUAUCUGGAGGAACACCGAUGGCGAAGGCAGGUCACUGGGCCAUUACUGACGCUGAGGAGCGAAAGCAUGGGUAGCGAACAAG
rnacentral:rRNA from 1 species